rnacentral:lncRNA from 1 species
GGGGGGUCAUGUGGGGGUAGGGGUGUCUACAGUGCACCCAUGUUUCUCACCGUUGUCUGUCCUAAGAAAUCAUGUUGUGUUGUGGUUGUGCCGAACAACUCUAUGCUUACGAUUCAGACACCUAAUAUCUAAAGCACCCUGUCUCUCUUCUAUUUUAUCUUUACUUCAUAUCCCUCCUUGAGUAGUAUUAUAAGUAUAAGCUAUGAAUUGAUAAGUGUUACUUCCAUUCAUGACGUUUAUGCUCGGGUCCCU